CGUGGCUUAGUUUUGCUUUUUAAUCAUAAUUAAUUUGUUUACAAAAAAAAAAUUAACACUAUGUUAAAAAAAAAAUUAUAAAUUUAUAAUGGCGGUCAGCGUGCGACAUUUCUUCGCCGUAGGAUUAGUGAAGCAGGAAUCUGAGUCCGUUAAACGGAGGACGCGCCGUAAUCCUCUCCGCCACCAAGCGCUCCCCGUGAACAGUCAUGCCGCAGCGCACCUUCUUGGCAUGCAGAAAGUUCAGAUCGGCGGCUCGCUCUCCACUUUUGAGCGGCAACCAGCCGUACACCUGCGACUCCAGGAGCGGAACAGCUUUUCCGAGCUGCCUCUGACGCUCCACAUGCUUCUCAGGCCAAGUGUGCCGUAGGUACCUCAAGGUAUCCGUCGGCUGGCGUUGCUCAUACUGGGCGUAGAACUUCCGUGUUAGCGGAUGAACUGGAAGGCAGGAGAAGAUAUUAUUAGCAUUUUAUUUUUACAGGAGCGCUACGAUGCAACAAGCUUGUCCUCAAACAUGAUAUACCGAGCUAACCAGAAAUCUCUAGCAUACCUUGGCUCACUGGAACAAAGGUUUCGUAAAGUCGGAUGUGCCGGUUAGAUCUAUGGAUCAGCUCCUUUUCGAAGUCGUAGGGCAGCGGUCGGGGAUCCCCCUCGCGAUGAUCCAGUGCGUCGCCAUUCUCCUCGACCUCGUCGGUGGUUUCGAGUCCCGGUUUCAUGCUCCUGCACGUCUACUAUUUUGAGCCCCGAAGGAGAGCUCUGUUUACGGAAAUCCAGGCAAUCCGUCCGCAACGCGUGGCGUGCUCGGUUCGUUUGACUGGCUGCGGACUGCGCUGCAUCAAGGACACCUACCCCCCACAAUCCCCUUGCCUGCCGCUCACUGCCUGCCUGGCUGUCUUUUCGUUUUGGCAGCAACUUGUACUCAUUAAAGUUUUCCUAUUGUUGCUGCAUGGCAGGCAACGUUACCAAUACUGUACACGCAUCCCCACGACGCAGCCCACGGGGCCCAAGGAGUUGCUGCUCCCAACUCCCGGGGGUGUCGAUGGCAGUGGUGUGACCCACAAUCACAGUUUCACCAACGUCAGAGGCGCCUGUCGGGCGAAUUUCCCCAGCAGGUGCUGUGGGCUGUCCGCGAUGUAUGCGAUUGGCUCAAGAGAAAGUAAAAGGACGUCAGCCAGUGAUGAGACGGAUCACUGGUUAUAUUCAAGAUUGGAAUUGGUUGAAGUAUAACCAAGUGUACCGAAGGCGAAAGUCAUCGAUUGGUUGGAACUGGAACUUAUCUCGCCUAUUUUAAGGCUAACUACUACAUUGUAAACAAUAGGAGCUUACUAUACCUUCGCAUCACUGCUUCCAGCACCCAAGGGCUGGCUCCAUUCAUGUCGUUGGCGUAAUUUAGUACAAGCCCAAAACCCAAAUCCCUGAAGUAAACAGCAAUAUCCGAAAAUAAACCCAUUCGAGCGAUUGCCUUUGCGUGUCCAAACAAUCGCAGCCACAAAAUUAUCUAGAGGCAGAGGAGCAGGUGGCCACCACAUCCGGCACUUGGCCGCCGCGAUUCUCAACAUUUGCUUCGGGUUGUGCAACUCUCUCGAUUCGUCGUAAAUUUUAGCCUAAUCGAAUCUAAUUGAAUACAUAAAUACGGAAAUAAAUCAAUUUAAUUACAAUACA
ensembl:ncRNA asRNA:CR43864 antisense RNA:CR43864